AGUGAACGCUGGCGGUAGGCCUAACACAUGCAAGUCGAACGGCAGCACAGUAAGAGCUUGCUCUUACGGGUGGCGAGUGGCGGACGGGUGAGGAAUACAUCGGAAUCUACUUUUUCGUGGGGGAUAACGUAGGGAAACUUACGCUAAUACCGCAUACGACCUACGGGUGAAAGCAGGGGAUCUUCGGACCUUGCGCGAUUGAAUGAGCCGAUGUCGGAUUAGCUAGUUGGCGGGGUAAAGGCCCACCAAGGCGACGAUCCGUAGCUGGUCUGAGAGGAUGAUCAGCCACACUGGAACUGAGACACGCUCCAGACUCCUACGGUAGGCCGCAGUGGGGAAUAUUGGACAAUGGUCGCAAGCCUGAUCCAGCCAUACCGCGUGUGUGAAGAAGGCCUUCGGGUUGUAAAGCCCUUUUGUUGGGAAAGAAAAGCAGCAGGUUAAUACCCCGCUGUUCUGACGGUACCCAAAGAAUAAGCACCGGCUAACUUCGUG
rnacentral:rRNA from 1 species